rnacentral:rRNA from 1 species
CACGUAGGGCGCAAGCGUUGUCCGGAAUUAUUGGGCGUAAAGAGCUCGUAGGCGGUCUGUUGCGUCCGCUGUGAAAACUCGGGGCUUAACCCCGAGCCUGCAGUGGAUACGGGCAGACUAGAGGUAGGUAGGGGAGAAUGGAAUUCCCGGUGUAGCGGUGAAAUGCGCAGAUAUCGGGAGGAACACCGGUGGCGAAGGCGGUUCUCUGGGCCGAUACUGACACUGAGAAGCGAAAGCGUGGGGAGCGAACAGG